CUGCUGACAGAGAAACGAAAACAGCACAAGCAGACCGGCUGAGGCUGGCCUGGGACAGCUGCCUGGCUAUUCCGGAUGCUCGUUUUCACGGGGUUCAGGAUCUCAGGCGCCAGGCAAACCUGAGUGACCAGCUAUGCUGGGACACAAGGCCAGCAUGAGUGCAAGGGGAUAACCCUGCCUACUUCCUAGGACUACCUGCUGUGUCUGGGAAUCAGUUGAAUCACACAGCAUGUAGGGAUGGAGUCCUCCUUCAUAUCAACGGUGUAUGCUGUUGGGCAGAAAGUGAAAAUGAAGCUUGUUCUUGUACCUCUGGGACCCCCAUGGAACUGACCCUGAGGGAGCUCCAGAUUCAGAGCCAAAAGAAGAUUCCAGAGUUCACCUUGUCCCUUCUGUCUCUAGACUGGAAGAAACAACAGAACUGGAGAUGGGUCACAGGAAAGCAGGAUGCCAACAUAGCUGACACCGGGGACAGUGUGGCAGGACUGUCUGGCUGAUGCUGACAUUGUGUGCCCUCCGGGACAUGUGUGGUCUGAGCUGAGCCCAAAUGAAUUGUAACCAGAGAGCCUGAGCAAAGGAACGUGGGUAUCAAGCAAAUCAAAGGAAACCGAUACUGUGCAUUAGAAGCUGGCCUGGCCUCCUUUAGCCUGGCUGGGAGACAGCCCUAGCCCUGUGCGCUUUCUGGCCUCCCCCUCCCUAUUCUCAGCUCUGAACUCUCCUCUAACUUGAAAGAGCUAAUUAAAGCCAAAAGAAAAAAAAAUCAAAA
rnacentral:lncRNA from 1 species